rnacentral:rRNA from 1 species
UACGGAGGGUGCGAGCGUUAUCCGGAUUUAUUGGGUUUAAAGGGUCCGUAGGCGGUUUAAUCAGUCAGUGGUGAAAUCUUAUAGCUCAACUAUAAAACUGCCAUUGAUACUGUUAAACUUGAGUGAGCUUGAAGUGGCUGGAAUGUGUAGUGUAGCGGUGAAAUGCAUAGAUAUUACACAGAACCCCGAUUGCGAAGGCAGGUCACUAAGACUCAACUGACGCUGAUGGACGAAAGCGUGGGUAGCGAACAGG